rfam:Pteropus alecto contig169599, whole genome shotgun sequence.
GUUUAUAGCCAUGCCACCUUGAACAAGCCCGAUCUCAUCUGAUCUUGAAAGCUAAGCAAGGUCCAGCCUAGUUAGUUAGUAUUUGGAAGACCACCUAGGAAGACCAGGUACUGUAGGCG